UACGUAGGUGGCAAGCGUUAUCCGGAAUUACUGGGCGUAAAGCGCACGCAGGUGGCUAUCUAAGAUUGACGUGAAAGCUUCUGGCUUAACUGGAAGAGGUCGUUGAUGCCUGGAUGGCUUGAGACGCGUGGAGGGGUGCAGAAUUCCCGGUGUAGUGGUGGAAUGCGUAGAUAUCGGGAGGAAUACCAGUGGCGAAAGCGGCACCCUGGCCUUAGUCUGACGCUCAGGUGCGAAAGCGUGGGGAGCAAACGGG
rnacentral:rRNA from 1 species